rnacentral:rRNA from 1 species
CCUACGGGAGGCAGCAGUGGGGACUAUUGCACACUGGGGGAACCCCUGAUGCAGCAACGCCGCGUUAGUGACGCAGUAUUUCGGUAUGUCAAGCUCUAUCAGCAGGGAAGAAGAUGACGGUACCUGACCAAGAAGCCCCGGCUAACUACGUGCCGGCAGCCGCGGUCAUACGUAGGUGGCAAGCUUUAUCCGGGUUGACUGGGUGGAAGGGGGGCGCCGAAGGCAAUGCACGCCAGGAGUGAAAGCACGGGGCCCAACCCAGGGACUGAGCUUGGAACUGCAUGGCUGGAGUACAGGAGGGGCAGGCGGAAUUCCUAGUGUAGCGGUGAAAUGCGUAGAUAUUAGGAGGAACACCGGUGGCGAAGGCGGCCUGCUGGACUGUGACUGACGUUGAGGCCCGAAGGCGUGGGGAGCAAACAGGAUUAGAUACCCCAGUAGUC